GGCCUCGUGGCCCAAUGGCAAGGCGUCUGACUACGAUAGAAAUCAAGCCGUACUACGACUUGAUAUCCUAACGAUAAUCAGGAGAUUCUGGGUUCGACCCCCAGCGAGGUCA